UACAGAGGUCUCAAGCGUUGUUCGGAAUCACUGGGCGUAAAGGGUGCGUAGGCCGCACGGUAAGUCAGGUGUGAAAGCCCGGAGCUCAACUUCGGAAUUGCACCCGAUACUGCCGUGCUUGAGGACUGGAGAGGAGUCUGGAAUUCACAGUGGAGCAGUGAAAUGCGUAGAUAUUGUGAGGAACACUAGUGGCGAAGGCGGCUCACUGGCCCGGUACUGACGCUGAGGUGCGAAAGCGUGGGGAGCAAACAGG
rnacentral:rRNA from 1 species